GUUAACGAGAGUAACUAUGGUGUCUUGGUGUCGCUGGCUCCUCGGAGCAUCGUGCACGCCCGCCAUUUUUAUCUAUCCACCUGUGCACCGAAUGUAGGUCUGGAUGACUCUCGCCUCCGGGCGGAUGCGAGGUUUGCGUGUGCGCGACGUUCGCGUUGCGUACGGGCUCUCCUCGAAUUUCCAGACUCUAUGUCUCUUUACAAACCCCAAACGUAUGAUGCAGAAUGUAGUCAAUGGGCCUUUAAAAGCCUAUAAAACACUAUACAACUUUCAGCAACGGAUCUCUUGGCUCUCGCAUCGAUGAAGAACGCAGCGAAAUGCGAUAAGUAAUGUGAAUUGCAGAAUUCAGUGAAUCAUCGAAUCUUUGAACGCACCUUGCGCUCCUUGGUAUUCCGAGGAGCAUGCCUGUUUGAGUGUCAUUAAAUUCUCAACCUCACCAGUUUUCUGAACUGUUCUAGAGGCUUGGAUGUGGGGGUUUGUGCAGGCUGCCUCAGCGCGGUCUGCUCCCCUGAAAUGUAUUAGCGAGAUUCAUAUCUGAACCUCCGUCUAUCGGUGUGAUAAUUAUCUACGUCGUUGACUUGGUCUCGGACUCGCUUCUAACCGUCCGCGAGGACAACAUACUUGACAAUUUGACCUCAAAUCAGGUAGGACUACCCGCUGAACUUAAGCAUAUCAUAAGGCGGAAGGA
rnacentral:rRNA from 1 species